GGCAGGGCCGUACACAGCGGGGGGGGGGGGCAGGGGGGCAACUGCCUUCCCCCCAGAGAAAAAUAUGUUUACAAUUUUUGGAAUGACAUUAUUAAUUAUUCUUUGGGUAUUUGGGACUUUUCCAGACCUAAAAUUUCCAGACCUAAAUUCUACAGAUCUUGGUCGAAAAAACGGGUUUUACCCAUGUUUUAACGGGAAUUUGUCCGGAAAAAUUUUUUUGAAC